UCGAUUCUGUCGGGGUGCCCUAAUUGAAGGGCUGAGAUCGCAAUUGCGGGUCCCGUUGAACCUGAUCUGGUUAGCGCCAGCGUAGGGAACAGAAAAGACAGCCAG
rnacentral:ncRNA from 1 species